rnacentral:rRNA from 1 species
GGUUCUAUUUUGUUGGUUUCUAGGACCGCCGUAAUGAUUAAUAGGGACAGUCGGGGGCAUCAGUAUUCAAUUGUCAGAGGUGAAAUUCUUGGAUUUAUUGAAGACUAACUACUGCGAAAGCAUUUGCCAAGGAUGUUUUCAUUAAUCAGGAACGAAAGUUAGGGGAUCGAAGACGAUCAGAUACCGUCGUAGUCUUAACCAUAAACUAUGCCGACUAGGGAUCGGACGGUGUUAUUUUUUGACCCGUUCGGCACCUUACGAGAAAUCAAAGUGCUUGGGCUCCAGGGGGAGUAUGGUCGCAAGGCUGAAACUUAAAGAAAUUGACGGAAGGGCACCACCAGGGGUGGAGCCUGCGGCUUAAUUUGACUCAACACGGGGAAACUCACCAGGUCCAGACACAAUAAGGAUUGACAGAUUGAGAG